ACUCCUACGGGAGGCAGCAGUGGGGAAUAUUGCACAAUGGGCGCAAGCCUGAUGCAGCCAUGCCGCGUGUAUGAAGAAGGCCUUCGGGUUGUAAAGUACUUUCAGCGGGGAGGAAGGCGAUAAGGUUAAUAACCUUGUCGAUUGACGUUACCCGCAGAAGAAGCACCGGCUAACUCCGUGCCAGCAGCCGCGGUAAUACGGAGGGUGCAAGCGUUAAUCGGAAUUACUGGGCGUAAAGCGCACGCAGGCGGUCUGUCAAGUCGGAUGUGAAAUCCCCGGGCUCAACCUGGGAACUGCAUUCGAAACUGGCAGGCUAGAGUCUUGUAGAGGGGGGUAGAAUUCCAGGUGUAGCGGUGAAAUGCGUAGAGAUCUGGAGGAAUACCGGUGGCGAAGGCGGCCCCCUGGACAAAGACUGACGCUCAGGUGCGAAAGCGUGGGGAGCAAACAGGAUUAGAAACCCGGGUAGUCC
rnacentral:rRNA from 1 species